rnacentral:lncRNA from 1 species
CUCAACAUACUAAAUUUAAUUACCUAGGUUGGUGAAAAAAGGUCCAAACUCGUCAAGCACACUGUCAAGUAAGACCGGUCGGCGACGUGAACGGCGUGACAGCGAUGUCGGUGAUUUUCUGGUCGGCGAUGGGUGUGGCGUGAGAACAAGCUCUGCGGGUGAGUGACAGCCAAACAGAGACAGCUCGCUAGGGGGUGAGUGAGGGAGACAGUGAGAGAGAAGAGCGGGUGAGGGAGAGGGAAGUUGAGUGAAAGAGACAAAGCGAGUGAGUGGUACAGUGAGAGGAAGCAUGCGGAUUGCGGAAA